rnacentral:rRNA from 1 species
AUAAUUAGUAACACCUGCUCCAUGUAAUUAUAAAUAGCCGCAGAAUUUUUACUGUGCUAAGGUAGCAUAAUCAUUAGCCUUUUAAUUAAAGGCCUGUAUGAAAGGUGAAACGAUUUAAUUUCUUUAUUAAUUAAUAAUUAUUAAAAUUUUACUAAGAAUAAAAAUAUUCUUAUUAAAUAAUUAGACGACAAGACCCUAUUGAACUUCACUGUAGUUUAGCUGGGGCAGCUAAUUAAUAUUGAUUUUAAUUUUGUAUUUUUACAUAAACGACCCAAUCCUCAUUGAUUACUUGAAUUAAGUUACCAUAGGGAUAACAGCGUAAUUUUUUCCUAAAGUUCAUAUUAAAAAAAAAGAUUGCGACCUCGAUGUUGAAUUAUCGUUACAUAUUUAGCGCAAAAGCUAAUAAUGUAGGUCUGUUCGACCUUUAAAACUUUACGUGAUC